AGGUUAGGCCCUGUUCUUUUGGUAGUCGCGAGAUCUCUCCAGCGACACUUUUUUAAAGAAGCGAGCGACUCAUUAAUCCAAGGGGGAAGACACCGGCGAUAGUCGCUGAUUUUAAUAAAGCUUUAGUGGGGGUCGCUGUUAUUUUCAGCGACUCCAAAAUCAUGAAAUUGCAGUCGCAGCGACAAGAUAAAGAGAAGAUGCAGGAGAGAUGAAAGGGAUGAGAAAGAGAAAUAAAGCCUUUUUUCCAGUCGCCGGACUCUGUCGCAGCGUCUCUGGAAACGAACAGGGCCUUAUUCAAAUAAUGAAAUCAU
rnacentral:sRNA from 1 species